rnacentral:rRNA from 1 species
UACGUAGGGGGCAAGCGUUGUCCGGAAUCAUUGGGCGUAAAGAGCGCGUAGGCGGUCCGAUAAGUCGGCUGUGAAAGUCAAGGGCUCAACCCUUGAAAGCCGGCCGAUACUGUCGGACUAGAGUCCGGAAGAGGCGAGUGGAAUUCCCGGUGUAGCGGUGAAAUGCGCAGAUAUCGGGAGGAACACCAAUGGCGAAGGCAGCUCGCUGGGACGUGACUGACGCUGAGGCGCGAAAGCGUGGGGAGCAAACAGG